rnacentral:rRNA from 1 species
AGUGAACGCUGGCGGCAGGCCUAACACAUGCAAGUCGAACGGAAGCACAGUAACUGCUUGCUCUCAUGGGGGGCGAGUGGCGGAAGGGAGAGGAAGACAUCGGACUUUACUUUUUGGUGGGGGUUAGCGAAGGGAAGCUUACGCUAAUAACGCAUACGACCUACGGGUGAAAGCAGGGGAUCUUCGGACCUUGCGCGAUUGAAUGAGCCGAUGUCGGAUUAGCUAGUUGGUGGGGAAAAGGCCUACCAAGGCGACGAUCCGUAGCUGGUGUGAGAGGACGAUCCGCCACCGUGGGACUGAGACACGGCCCAGCCCCCUAGGGGAGGCAGGAGGGGGGAAUAUUGGAAAAUGGGGGGAACCCUGAUCCAGCAAUGCGGCGUGUGUGAAGACGGCCUGCGGGUGGUAAAGCACUUUCAGGAGGGAGAAAAGGUGCGUAGUUAAUACCUGCGCAAUUGACGUUACCUAAAGAAGAAGCACCGGCUAACUCCGUG